rnacentral:lncRNA from 1 species
AGCUCUUUUUUUUUUUUUUUUUAUUAUUUUACUUAUAUACACCACACGGGCAUCCAUAUAUAUGUAAUAUACGCACAUAUAUGCAUUUUUAAAUACGACGAAACAUAAAAAAAAACAUGACAGUAAAAAGUAAUGAUAAAAAUAACGAAGGAGAGAAGAGUAAAAUGAAAAAAAAUGAAGAGAAUAAGACUGAUCAAGAAUUAGCAAAUAAUAAUAACAUUAACGGUAACAAUAAUAACCAUAAUUCAAGUGACACAGAAUUGAUAAAUGCAAAUAACAAAAACAUUAACAAAUCAGUAGAUAAGGAAAAACCAAGUAAAAAAGAAAAGGACAAAGGGUAUGAUAAAACAACAGAAGAAAUAGUAAAAGAAAAUAAAAAUUCAUACAUUUCCCAAAUUAGUAAACCCUUAUUAAAAAAAAAAUAUUAUAAGCAUUUUUUAAAAAUUUUGGAUUAUAUCUAUUAUGCUAAACUAAACGUAAUACAAAUAAUAAAAACAAAUCAAAAUUUAGAAGAAACAAAAAAAAAAUUAUUAAGAAAAAAACUUAUCAUUAUUGGAUUAACACAAGUUGUUAAAGCUAUAAGAAAAGGUAUACAAGGUAUUGUCAUAUUAGCAAUAGAUGUCUUUCCUUUAGAUAUAAUAUGUCAUAUACCAAUAUUUUGUGAAGAACACAAUAUACCAUAUACAUUUGUAACUACCAAAAAUAAAUUAGCACGUUUAUGUAAAUUGAAAAGGUCUACUACAUGUGUACUUAUUUGUAGACCAGAUGAAAAAUUCACAGAAUAUGAAAGCACAAUUAAUCAAUAUAUUUCAAAAAAAAAAAUUAAUAACUAUUUAGGCUUGUUUGAAAAAUUCGAUCACGCCGUAAAAAAAAACCAUCCCUUUUUUCAGUAACAUAACAUGAUAGACAAAAGCAAGUGAAAAAUAUAGUCAAAAAAAAGUAUGUAUUGCGCAUAGAGCAUCAUAAACCUUACGUACGCAAAAUAUAAAUAUACAUAAAGACACUAUUAAAAAAAAAAAUAAUAAAACAAAAUAAUAAUAAUAAUAAUGAAUAAAA